GCGAAAGUGGCGGAACUGGCAGACGCGCUGGACUUAGGAUCCAGUAGGUAACACUGUGGGGGUUCAACUCCCCCCUUUCGCA
rnacentral:tRNA from 2 species